rnacentral:rRNA from 1 species
UACAGAGGUCUCAAGCGUUGUUCGGAUUCAUUGGGCGUAAAGGGUGCGUAGGUGGCGGGGUAAGUCAGGUGUGAAAUCUCGGGGCUCAACCCCCGAAACUGCACUUGAUACUGCCUUGCUCGAGUACUGGAGAGGAGAUUGGAAUUUACGGUGUAGCAGUGAAAUGCGUAGAUAUCAGGAGGAACACCAAUUGCGAAGGCAGCUCGCUGGGACGUUACUGACGCUGAGACGCGAAAGCGUGGGGAGCAAACAGG